UACAGAGGUCCCAAGCGUUGUUCGGAUUCACUGGGCGUAAAGGGUGCGUAGGUGGCUUGGUAAGUUUGAUGUGAAAUCUCCGGGCUUAACCCGGAAAUGGCAUUGAAUACUAUUGAGCUGGAGGUUUGGAGGGGGGACUGGAAUUCUCGGUGUAGCAGUGAAAUGCGUAGAUAUCGAGAGGAACACCAGUGGCGAAGGCGGUUGCCUGGAGCUUUGCUGACGCUGAUGCGCGAAAGCGUGGGGGAGCGAUCCGG
rnacentral:rRNA from 1 species